GGGUAGAGCUCAGUGGUAGAGUGUGUGCUUAGCAUGCAGGAGGUCCUGGGUUCCAUCCCCAGUACCUCCA
rnacentral:tRNA from 1 species